GACAGGACUCUCGGCAAUGGAUAUCUCGGCUCUCGCAUCGAUGAAGAGCGCAGCGAAAUGCGAUACGUGGUGUGAAUUGCAGAAUCCCGCGAACCAUCGAGUUUUUGAAAGCAAGUUGCGCCUGAGGCCAGCCGGCCAAAGGCACGCCCGCCUGGGCGUCAAGC
rnacentral:rRNA from 1 species